rnacentral:rRNA from 1 species
ACACUGACGUCGCGAUGCAUAUCAAUAAGCGGAGGAAAAGAAACUAACUAGGAUUCCCUUAGUAACGGCGAGUGAAGCGGGAAGAGCUCAAAUUUGAAAUCUUCAAGGUUCUACCUUGACGAAUUGUAGUUUAAAGAAGUGUUUUCUGUUAGAUGAGUAGCAAAAGUUCCUUGGAAUAGGACAUCAUAGAGGGUGAGAAUCCCGUAUUUGGUCAUUCCUUCUAGCUUUGUGAUACACUUUCAAAGAGUCGGAUUGUUUGGGAAUGCAGUCCAAAAUGGGUGGUAAAUUUCAUCUAAAGCUAAAUAUUGGCGAGAGACCGAUAGCGAACAAGUACCGUGAGGGAAAGAUGAAAAGAACUUUGAAAAGAGAGUUAAACAGUACGUGAAAUUGUCAAAAGGGAAGCGUUUGACACCAGUGUUGUUUUUCCGAAAAUCAAUUACGAAUGUUUUAUUUUCUGAGGAGUGAUGACUUCAUCGGCUUGCCUUCUCUCUUCACUGAAACUUUUGUAAUGCACUUUUCGGUUAACAAGUCAACAUCAAUUUCUUUUGUUGUAAAAGAGUAUUCGGAAGGUGGCUUUCUUUCGGAGAAAGUGUUCAUAGCCCUAUACUUCUACAAUCGGAGAGAUUGAGGUCUGCAGCGUAGAUCCUUCGGGGUUAGAUACACUUGUGCUAAGUUAUAGCUUUUCAUAGACAACUUGUUGACUAUGUUUAGUCUUGUAGCUUACUCGCUUGUGCUAUUUUACCUACGCUUAGGAUGUUGAGUCGUAGAGCACGCAG